UACGUAGGGGGCAAGCGUUGUCCGGAUUUAUUGGGCGUAAAGAGCGUGUAGGCGGCCAUACAGGUCAGCUGUGAAAACUCGAGGCUCAACCUCGAGACGUCGGUUGAAACCGUAUGGCUAGAGUCCGGAAGAGGAGAGUGGAAUUCCCGGUGUAGCGGUGAAAUGCGCAGAUAUCGGGAGGAACACCUGUGGCGAAGGCGGCCCCCUGGUUGGAUACUGACGCUGAUACGCGAAAGCGUGGGGGAGCAAACAGGAUUAGA
rnacentral:rRNA from 1 species